rnacentral:lncRNA from 1 species
UGAGAUUGCAGCAGCUGCUGAACAACCUCUCCCUGAUGACGACGACGAUAUUUUCGAUUAAUCCCUUCCCUUCCAUUUUAUAGAUCGAUGGGGUUGUUAGUUCUCUGGACAAGUUUCUUUGGAAUGUUAUCUAUCAUUCUGUUUUGAACUUGAAAUAAUGAAAUUGUGCACCUUUUUUUCAGAACAUUAUCACUAUUUCAUUAUGAAAAAGUUUCUUUUCAACACACACAAUUAGUUACCAUCCUUGUUUAAUGCCAGUGAUUUUACCAAAAUGUUAAGAUUAAAGCUUGGCUAUCUUUACCAAUAUUGGGGCUGAUCUUAUAAUCAUUCUUAUAAUCGUCAAUCUUAGUCUUUGUUCGAUCCUUAUUUUUAUAGCAGUGUUCUUAUCAUUAUCCACAUUUUAGAAUUUUCCUACAGGUUUCCCCCUCUAUCAUGAUCAGUAAUAUGCUCUUCCCAAAAACCCUAGAUCAUCAUCAGAAACAUUAGUUUCCAUUCAAUUCUUAUUAUGAGUGUUUUUGAAAAUUUGGUGUAUUUUUAGUAUUAUACCUCAAAGUUUUAAAAUUUACGAAAAAACUUCACUACUUCAGUAACAUUCACUUAUCCAUAAUUAUUUCAAAAAAAAAAAAUAGCGUAAAAACACCGCUAAAGAAAAAGGCGACCAAUCAGACGGCCAAGAUUGACGCGUUAUUCGAAAGCUAAUUCGAUCCAGCCUUUUGUCUCUUUCACUCAUUUUUUGCUUAUAUAAAUCUCAUUACCGAACCCUUUCUUUCCUCUACCGUCUUCGUUAAAAACCCUCCUCUUCUUCAUCGAACUCGAUAGAAUACCUAAACAAAUUAUGGCGAGUUCUUCUUUUCCUCUCACUUCGCCCCCUUUUCUUUCUAUUAUCGAUCGAUAGGGUUAUGAUUACGAUCUGGUUCGUUGAUGUUUUUUUCUAAUUUGAUUUCAGGCGCUUCCGAAUCAGCAAACAGUCGAUUAUCCCAGUUUCAAGCUGGUCAUUGUUGGCGAUGGAGGAACAGGUGAUCUAUUCUUUUUUCUUUCUAUUUCAAGUCUUUCAUAAUUUUCGAUUGUGCUUUGAAUUUUUUUUUUACCUUUUGGCUUUGAAUCGACGCAGGGAAGACUACGUUCGUAAAGAGGCAUAUGACCGGGGAGUUCGAGAAGAAGUACGAACGUAAGAUUUUUUUUAUUCCUUCUUCUACUUUUUCUCGAUUUGUUAAUGGAGGAAUUCUGAUUCUCAGUCGUUCUCUGCAGCUACUAUUGGUGUUGAGGUCCAUCCUUUGGAUUUCUUCACAAAUUGUGGGAAGAUCAGGUUUUACUGCUGGGAUACAGCUGGUCAGGAGAAAUUUGGUGGUUUGAGAGAUGGAUACUAGUGAGAUAUCUUUUCUUUUAUUCGCGUGAUUUUAUUUAGAGAAUUAAAGCUAGUCUCUAUUUUAUAAAUUAAGGCUGAUGUUUGUUUUGAUUCACUCUAAGGUGUUCUUUAACUACUUAUUUUAAGCUACUUUAUAUCAGUAUAUCAACACUAAUAUUUUCUUCAAUGGUUUUUGAAAUGCAGUUUUUUUUCUUUAUACAUUAAAUUUCUGACAAAACAAAUCUAUUUACAUAUAGCAUUGUUUUGUAUGUGACUAUUCAUAUGUUGAUAUAUGUGUAACUUUAAAGUUAUUAGUUAAAACUUGUGUGUUUGUAUAUUUUGUUUAAUUAGAAUAAGGAAGUGUGUGUUUUUGUAUAUUCAUAGGUUUUUAAUUUUAAUCUUUUUCAAAGCUCUGUAAUUUUUGUUCAUAACGCCAUAUUAUUAAUUAUUUAUACUUCAGGCUUUAUCAAUUUAUUUUAUCAGCCCAUUGAACUAUUUUUGAUAACUGAACUUCUUAUUGCAGUAUUCAUGGGCAAUGCGCAAUUAUAAUGUUUGACGUCACUGCAAGAUUGACAUAUAAAAAUGUCCCAACAUGGCACAGAGAUCUUUGCAGGUUAGUAAUUUGGUAUAUGUAACAUGUGUGCUUAUUAUCUUGAAAUGAGACCUUUCCUUGUUUUUAGAAGGAAAAAAAAUCUAACUUUUGUGGUUGGCUUCCUUUAUCCAGGGUGUGUGAGAACAUUCCCAUUGUUCUCUGUGGAAAUAAGGUUGAUGUAAAAAACAGGCAGGUUAAAGCUAAGAUGGUUACAUUCCACAGAAAGAAGAAUCUCCAAUAUUAUGAGAUAUCAGCUAAAAGCAACUACAAUUUCGAAAAGCCUUUCCUCUAUCUUGCCAUAAAACUUGCCGGGUAAUGAUUGAAUACAUAUUUAUUUGGUCUAUCAGAUUUCAAUCUAAGGAUUAUUAUUUGAUUAUUAAAUAAAUGUCUGUUGUUUGAUUUCAAUCUCAAGGGACCCCAAACUACAUUUUGUUGAAUGUCCGGCACUUCUCCCUCCCGAUGUAGAAAUCGAUGUUGCUGCAUGCCAGAAGUACGAAGCUGAGAUUGCAGCAGCUGCUGCACAACCCCUUCCUGAUGAUGAUGACGACGCUUUUGAUUGAUCAGUUUCCUGCUUUCCAUUUUAGAUAUCAUUGGGGUUGUUAGUUCUCUGGAUAGCUUUCUUUUCAAUGUUAUCUAUCAUUCUGUUUUGAACUAGACUUUUGAAAACGUUGUCAUUGGUGUGGGUUUUUUCUUCAAAAUGUUAUCACUCUUUCAAUUUCAUUAUGAAAGAAAUAUUUUCGUUUUCAAUAAAUCUGUAGUUACUAAUUAGUUAUCUAGUUAUAUUAUUAUUAUGAUUUACUGUUUUUCUCCAAAUAUAUCAGACUAGUUAUGAUUUUUUGAUCAGUCCUUUACUAUCUCACACUCUGACACAUCACCUCAUAUAUCAGUACCUCAGAGCACUGAGUCUUCAGGUAAUAUACUUCAAACAAGAACAACAAUUUUAGAAUCAGCUUAGACUCAAAUACAAGAAUCAUAAAGGAGAUACCUUAUAGAAUCAUAAAACAACCAACCUAUCUUAAUUAAGGAUUAUGUAUGCUUGAACACUCAAUUCAUUAAAUUUGAGCCUAAUUCCUUUAAAAAAGCUUUUAAAGAUGAGAGCCGAAAGGAAGCUAUGAAUGAUGAAAUGGAUGCAUUACAAAAGAACAACACAUGGUCCUUGAAUCUUGAUUCCUAUUGACAAAAGCAUAAAUGUUAUAAGGUGUAAAUGGGUAUAUAAAGUCAAGACCAAAUUUGAUGGAUCAAUAGAUAGAUAUAUAUAAGACAAGAUUAGUUGUUAAGAGCUACAAUCAAGAAGAAGAGGUAGAUUACAUCCUUGUAAUUAAAUUUUUUUCUUUCUCGAGAGGGUUAAUUUUAAAUAUUUAACCAAAUUUAAAAAUAAUUUUUUUCAAUUUAAUUGUUCUCGACGAGAUGUCAUAUUUUGGUACCGAUACAUAAUAUUAUCAUUAUUAACAUAAAAAAUUAAAUCUUUUUCAACAUAUGUUAUUAAAAUAUCAUUCAACAUCAUUCAUACGAUUGUGGUAACUUGAUUUCAUAAGAUUCAUUGCUGAAAAAGAAUUUUCCACUGAAACAUUCGCAACUGGUAAUAUGAGUGUUAAUUUUAACAAACAAAAUACCCAAAAAAAUACGAUAUGUUUUCUCUUCUCAAUCAACUUUCUAAUUUCAUUCAAAUUCGAAAGUUUUUCGUUAUUACGUACAUGAAAAAUAUAUUCUGACAGUUUAUUUUCAAAAGCUCUAAUGUCAACAGUAGAAAAAUUUAUAGGAUAAAAUUUCGCUAAAUUUAGUACUUUUGUUUUAUCAUAAAAACGAAAUUCAUUAUCCGACGUCAAACAACUUAUGUUUUAAAUUAGAUCCAUAUUUGAUGUUGCAAAACGACUAUUCAACUCUUUCAACUGUUUGUCAACAACUAGAUUAAACAAUUCAGCACGAUAUCGAUGAAUAUUUGUUACCUUUUGAAGUAAACGUUUUGAUCUACCAGGGGAAAUAAAACUGUCUUCCAUUAUAGGAACAUCGAUUUCAUUCUCUAAAUAAAAAGUUGAUAUUGUAGUUAGUAUUUAGUAAUGUUUUCCAACCUUCAUCUCGUAACAUUUGCAAACGAGUUUGAAAAUUAAACAUCAUUUCUAUCACAUUCACGAUAUCCUGUUCUUUUCGUUGCAAUGUCUGUGACAUACGAUGUGUAAUAGAUAGUCUCUUUCAUAAAAUACAAAGUAAUCAUAAAUUCAUUGAUCUUUUUUCGCAAUUUUAUAUCGGGAGGUAAUUUACUUACAUCGAGUGACUCUCGAGAUGGUUGUGGAUUGGACGAUGAAAUUGAAAUUGAUUGAUUUAUUCUAAGUCUUUUGAUUACAAAUUUAUACAUUUGUUUUUUUUUCUUUGUGUAAAGUUAUGACCACGGACGAAUGAAGGUGUGGAGUUGUGGUGAGUGGUGUCAAAAAAUAAAAAGAAUGAAAAAGACGGAGGAGAGGAAAAAAAACGAAAUUUUUAAAUCCUUAUCCGUUUUACAAGUUAUGCUGAAGACACUGUAGGUGGCCUUAUCCGUGUUUUCUUCUAGUUCUAAUGUUCCCCUUUUUAGAAUGAUUUAUGGACUGAUGAUUCGUGGGAAAAGUCGAAACGAGUUCAAAUGGCUGACUCUUCCCUUCCUACUUUAGCUUAGCUUGUCUUUUCCGAUUGCUGUUCAAAACUGGUAGAUGGGUGUGUUUGUUUUUAUGCAUUUUAUUGAGCCGGUGGUUGCGGUUCAAAACUAGCAAUUUUCUUGAGACCGCAAAAGGACAGUAAAUACAGACUGUACGUACAGUACUGGAACACCUACCACCAUCGGCUAUAGCGUUAUCAUCUUGAGCAUCGCAAAUAUCUUCCAAGGGUUCCAAAUAUCUUGAUAGAAUGUUUAUCAUGAAGAAGAAACCUGCAAAAAACCCAAAUAAGAAGAAACCUAGAAGAAGAAACACAAAGAAGAUCAAACUGAACUAUUUAUUACAGGUCCAAAAGUAUGUUCUAUUUCAACUAAAUCCUUUAACGUUGAAAUCAUUUAUUUUCCUUUCUGGGCCAGUCCGGACUCCAGACUUUUGGGCUUGUGUAGAUAAUCCAUUUAACCUGAUAAAUGAAUCCAUUAGUGAUAUUUAUUUUAUUAAACAUGAUUAAGUAAUAAUUGUGAAGUAAAUGUUAUUUAUUUAUAACUAAUAACCUUAAAAUUUAUAUCGGAUCCAUUUUCGAUUCGACACGUCCGUUCCGGCGACUCGCUGCGAAUACCAUUGCGAGUGGAGUUCGGGAGUGCCGUCCACCAUCGUGAGGCCGGAACUGGAAUGGAGUUCGUGAAUCGUGAGUUCGCGAUGGGUCAAAAACCCGGAACCACCAACUAUAUCUCUGGGAACUCAACACGGAUUUCAGGUACCGUCCUCCGUUCCCCCGCAAUGCAGUUCCUCACGCGUCGACCGUCAGAUUGCCUUCAAUGACCAUCUGUGUAAGGUAUCGCACCCAGUUUCAGAGACCGACACCGCGUAUUAAUAGAUGUUCUUGUUACUUUUAUUGUCCUUUCUUGUUACCUGGAUCCAGAUGUAGACCAACCCAGGUCUGUUUUGGCCCAUUCUUUCUUUAUUAAAUAAAUAAAUAUUGUCCAAACAUCCAAACCUAAAGCUCAACCCUAAGUCCUAACCAUAAUCGCCUCUAAUCAGUCGAAGCAAUGCCUUCCGUCGUCGCUGCCGUCCGGCCACUUGUCUCCGUGCAAGCAUUGGACGGAGACAUGAUCGUCGAUGGUCCGAACUCCGUUCCUCUCCCCGAUGUUAUGAAGACUCCCAUUCGUCCCGAUAUCGUUAGAUUUGUACAUUCGCAAAUGUCGAAUAACACCCGGAUUCCUUACGCCGUCUCUAAAAAUGCUGGUCAUCAGACAUCUGCAGAGUCAUGGGGCACUGGUCGUGCGGUGUCACGUAUCCCUCGUGUUGCCGGAGGUGGUACUCAUCGGGCCGGUCAGGGAGCAUUUGGAAAUAUGUGUCGCGGAGGACGCAUGUUUGCCCCCACAAAGAUUUGGCGCAAGUGGCACCGAAAUGUCAACGUCAAUAUUAAAAGACACGCGGUUGCUUCAGCUCUCGCUGCAUCUGCAGUUCCGUCUCUUGUUCUUGCUCGAGGUCAUAGGAUACAAUCGGUUCCCGAGUUACCGCUAGUGGUAUCUGAUUCUGCAGAGGGAGUUGAGAAAACUUCAUCUGCUCUUAAGGUCUUGAAGGAGAUCGGAGCCUAUGCUGAUGUAGAGAAAGCAAAAGACAGUCACUCCAUUCGAGCUGGAAAGGGUAAGAGCAGGAAUCGCAGGUACGUUAAUCGCAAGGGACCUCUAAUUGUGUACGGAACCGAGGGAUCCAGCAUUGUCAAGGCUUUUCGUAAUCUUCCCGGAGUUGAUAUCGUCAACGUUGAGCGUCUCAGUCUCCUCCAAGUUGCUCCUGGAGGUCAUGUCGGAAGGUUCAUCAUCUGGACAAAAUCUGCAUUUGAAAAACUUGACGAGAUUUUCGGAACAUAUGAGAAAGAAACUAAGAAGAAGAAGGGUUAUGUUCUUCCAAGGUCCAAGAUGACAAAUCCUGAUCUAUCUAGGGUUAUCAAUUCUGACGAGGUUCAAUCUGUUGUUAAGCCUAUCAUUACUGAGGUAAAGAAGGCGACGACAAAGAAGAACCCUCUAAAGAAUAUAAAUCUUAUGCUUAAGCUCAACCCUUAUGCAAAAACAGCCAAGAGGAUGUCUCUUCUUGCCGAGACACAGAGAAUUAAGGCAAAGAAUGAAAAAUUGGCUAAGAAGAGGAGCCCUCUUAGCAUGGUAAUCCCGUUAUAUUUCAAUUUAUUUUAGCAAUUUUUUUGUUUGUUUGUUUUUUAGUAUUUUUAUGCGAUAAUGUGUUGAUUGAAAAUUUGAAAUAUCUUGUUUACUUUCAAAUCAUUAAUUUUUGUUUCUUUUUCUUCAGGUUCUAUUUUUUCUCUAUAUUAUGCAAAUUAGAUUUUUGUGUUUGUCAUAUAGUUAAUAGCUUUUGCCAUUUUUUCAAUUAAUUUUAGAUUUUGUGUCUUCUAUGUACAGUGUACUGUUUUGGUUCUAAAUUGUAAUUGAUAUUUGUAUUUGAUUUUUAAUUUUUUUAUUUCGUAUUCUUAAGGUUUUUUUGCCACUUUUUCCAAUUGAUUCUAGAUUUUGUUUGUAGGAACAUAAAGUUCUGGAUGAUUUGUGAUCUCUCAUUAGUAUUAUGAAUAUCAUUUUUUGUUUGUUGUAUCAUUUGUAUGCUUGUAGAGUUGUAUGUAGUUACUUGUAUUUUUAUUGUACUAUAAUUUUAUAUGAAUUCUGAGCUCAUUGAGAAUUAUUUGAGUGCAGGAAGAGGUAGCCAGAAUUAAAGCCGCUGGGAAGGCAUACUAUAAAACAAUGAUUUCUGAUUCUGAUUAUACAGAAUUUGACGUCUUCACCAAAUGGCUUGGAGUAACACAAUGAUUUUCUCAGUUUCACCAAUCAAUUUUUGUUCCUCUGAUCUUACUUACUUGCAGUUCUGUCUGAUGUUUCGUUGAUCUUGUAUCAUUUCUGCUGUGUUUUUGUUACUGGUUGAGUCUGAACUUUUACCAUUGGAUAAUGUUUAUCCUGUAUUUGAGUUUUUGUAAUGUUCGUUCGACAAGGAUUUUUGUCUUAGAUCAUGAUUAGUGUAGUUUUGGCUCUUAUGAUUGAUUAGUAAAAACAUUGAUAAUUUUUUUCGUUCUUGAUUGUUUAUUUCCUUCAAAGUUGCAGAGAAAUAAUUGGAAAUUGGAAGUUAUGGUGAUGUCAGAUGUGAACUUUUGAUUGUUUGAGAAAGAGAAUUUAAAAACCUAAAUAUCUUGUAAAUAUAACAUGUUUGUGAGGGUAAAUGGGUAAUAAUGUAAAUGAAUUUAGAAUAUAUUUUUGAGAAAUAAAUGUGUUUUUCCAUUAUUCGAGGGUAAUUUUUCUUAUUGCAACUUUCGAAAUUCCAAAUGAAGCGGCGUCACUACGUCGGUUCUUCUCAGAUUCAUCUCGUGCGUUUCUUCUUCGUAGCUGUAAAUCCUGUGAGUUUGUGACUGAUUUUUCACAAUGAAAAGGUAACACAGAUCUAAGGUUUUGCGAUUAUCGUUUUUGUUUUAGGGUUUUCCGAAUUGGUUUCAGAUAAAUAAUAAUCUUAUGAUUUAAUGCUUAAUUCUAAUUUUUUAUUUUAGGGUUGUAGUCUUCAAUUCUUCACCCUCCCUUCUUGACUUCCCUCCUAGCUCCGGUAACCUUGCACGUUGCACCUGAAGUUCCAGUGUUACUGAUGUGCAGAAAGAGUUAUCGUCCCCGAUCCUAAUUCUUCUCUUAGUUUCAGUCCUAUUUCCUAUUGCAGAUUUUGUAGCCCUCGAUUUCGUAUUGCAGAAAUUCCGACGCGUUCGCUCUGUGAUUCUUGGGCAGUCUCUGGCUAUUUCGAUUUUGUCUCCGAUUUAAGGAUUUAGGUUUUUCUUGGAUUCUCUUUUAUUCUCUGAUUUAUCAUUUUCAAAAUUUAGUUCUGAUUUCUCAUUUCAUUUUGAUUUAGUCUCACGAUUUAGUUCUGAUUUUUAUAUUUCAAUCAAAUUUAGUUAUGAUUUUUACAUUUCAAUCAGAUUUAGUUUUACGAUUUUUCAUUUUCUCCUGAAGGGUAAAGUCAAAAUCUGUAAAUCUUGUUUAUUAUAAUAUCUUGUUGGAUUUGUAUGUUUUAAACUUUUAAUAAGGUCUGAUUUUUUUAAUAUUUGUAUGUUUUAUUUAUCUUGUUUUUUACAGAGAAUUAUUUAAAAAUUAAAAGUACAACGGUUAUUUUGUUAAAAUUAUUUUAAAUCUUAUUUUUUGAAAAUUUAAGGUUUUUCUAUAUAAAAUUAUUCAAAUUUGGAUAUUCCGGAUAUCCAAAAAAUUAGGCGAAUUUUGGAUUUCUUAUUCGAUUAUUAUUCAGACGGAUUCGGAUUAUCCGGAUAUUUCCCUGAUUUGAAUAUCUUGGUAUCCCAGCCGAAUCUGUCCGAAUAACAGGCUUAAUUACAAGUACACCAUUGUUUCACAUUCCCAAUUUGCCAAGAUUUAAUUUUCUUCUUUUCAUUUGAUUUUUCAUCCGAUCAGUGGAAACAUGUUCAUCGAACUUGACAAGCUCCCAAUCAACCGAGUCGAGGCUGUCGAUGACUCUGGAAUUGAACGGUUUCCUUUGUAUGACACCUCCCAUUACUUAAAUUUUCCAUUCACUAUCUUCUUCUUAUCUCUUCUCUUUUCAAAUCCUCCCUCUUCGUCGUCUUAUAUGGUUUAUGUGUGCUUUCAGAGAUGUUGAUCCGGAAGAGAGGAAAGUGGAUUUGAUUCGAAAGUUAGAUUUCUCAAGUGAGGUGGAGAAAUAUACCAAGAGAUCGAGAAAUGGCUCAGAUGAAAUUGCUAAGGAGAAAAAUAAGAAACCACCUGGUUCCACUUCUUGGCCUUGGCAGUCUUUGAUAGAAAGUAUGCAAGCUGCACAUCAGGAGCUUUCUGUUAUAAUUGACAUCAUCAACACGGUAUUAUUUGUUUUUUCCCUCUAAUUUGGUUUUGAUUCCUUGAAUUCUCUUGCAAUGUGUGCUUAGCAAAUUAGCUAAUGUUGGAAGUUGGAACUUAAAAUUGCCGAUGCUGCUACUAUUACUAUUGUAUUUGAAUACUAUUCAAUUAUGUAAUAUGCAGUGUUACUAUAGAUUAAGAUUCUUGUAUGGCUGGUUUUGUAGCAUUAUACUAACUAUUGAAAACAGUAAUAAACGAAUGCUUUCAAUUAUGGCUACAUAAGAGAAUUAUUUUGAUUGUUAUUUCAUUUGUUAGUUAUCUGAGAACUAAUUUUCUAUCAGCUAUAAGUUUUUAUCGAAAUAACCAGUAGCACUCUGUUCCAAUUUUAAUUAACCAGAGUACUUUUUGUACACGACUUCUAGAUGUCAUUUGAUAUGCUAAAUCUUUUUCUUUUGUGAUUGAUAUAGGUAGAAGCAAAUGAUGCGGUAACAGUUGCAGGAAUGACAAAACCAAAGCCAUUGACCAAUGAAAUUUUGUCAGAUCUUUCGGUAUCCACUGCAACCAAGCUUCAAUCUAUUCGGGUACAUUUUUUUAAAACUCUUGUCUAGUUCAUAUUUUAAUCAUUGUGGCGUGUUGAAUGUUGUACAUUACUACAAUUACGAAGAACCAAGCAGUGUGCACUAGGCACAAUACUUGUCAUUGGAAGAUACAUAUAUCAUAACAAAUACCUAAUUCCCAUUGUUAGCAAACAUCAAUGGUGAUUAAUCAACAUACCCACACUGUUCUGAAUUGUUGCUAAGAAGCUUACAUCUAAAUAUUUUAUAGGAUUAGUAACCAAAUGUCUAGCAGACAGUAUUGUUUAAGCACCUUUUCUCACAACAUCUAGAAAUAAUUAUCCUCUGGGGCCUGGACACAUCCAUAUAAACACGUAGAAGUGCUCGAUUUCAGCGUAAUAUCAUACUAAUAUUACACCACACCUUUUGUUGUCUACUAUUAUUUUUAUUGAACUAAUAACAUAUUUAUUCACUUUCAGCAUCUUGGAAAGUAUUUUAAACAAGGUUCAAAAUCAUUUGAAAAGUUAGUUGCGAAGGAGACUCGUUUCUACAAUGCACUAAUCAGGUAGUUGUCAUGGUAAUAUUUUUUAUUUUGUUUUGUCAAAUAAUAUACCUUAUUUUCUCAAUUUUCAAAAGAUUACAGCAAAACUGGAAAGUGAAACGGCACCGUCUAACCAUAUCUGGUCAUAGCAAUGAGGGUUUCACAAUUGAUUUGAUGGACAUAUCAUCGUCAGAAUCUAACACAUUUCCUCGUCCUUUUUCGACAUCUAUUAUCCGUGUCGAUCGUGACCUAAAUGGAAAAUUAGUUGUGCAAUUACCCUUGCGAUCAUUCCGCUCUCUGUAUUUUAGAUUCUUUGAUAGCAAUUCAAGUCGUAGAUUGCUACAUUCACUAAGGAGUAAAAUGCAUAGCAUAACUAACAAGUUUCCUCUAGAUGGUAAUAAUGAAACUGUUGUUGAAAAUGUCAAUGAAUGUGUAAAGGGAUCCCAUUCUGUUCUUCGCAACAUCCAUUUAUCACUCUUUGAAGAGAAGGUACUUUGUUCUCUAUUUAAUAUUUACAUUUCUUGUUUUCCCUUUGAAGUAAUUUCUUAUAGAAUUGAUUAUUUCCAGGUCUUUGAUUUUGUAAUUCAUGAAGCAUUAGCUUCAUUGUCAGGGGUCGAAAUCGUUACAUUAUAUGAGAAUUUUCUGAAAUUGGGGGUAGGAAAAGGAGCAUCUGUAAAUUUAUCCCUUAUGUUAUCUGAUGAGGCUGAUCCCAAGCCAAUAUUUGACGAUCCUUGUGAGGAAAAUAUUGAUUCUCAUACAAACUUAUUGGAAGAGUUGGAUAUUGACAGAGAACACAAUACAUUCAAGGAAACUAUCACGAGAUUUCCAAAUGCAGCAUGUUUUCAAAUUCAUCUAACAUCUACGGUACAUGAAUAUAUGUCCAGUCGUGCAAAAGAAGGAUGUCGUGAUGAGAUUGGACUUAUAAGUGAUUUUUGCAUGACUGGAGCUCACAGUAUAUUUUCCCAGAAGGUGUUAUCAGAUUUGGAAACUCUGGUAUUGAGGCACAAUAAUUUCAUUUAUACACUUAAAGUUAUUUAUGAUUGAGUUUUUUCUUUCUAAUUCUCUCUCUCUUUAUAUGUACUAUGAAGGCAAGUGGAAUUCCAUAUCUUCGUUUGCUGACCCAUCCAACUUGGCAUUCUCGGAUCUCAUCAUGGUCGCUUUUCGUAAAGCUUCCACAAUCCAUUCUAAAUCCUUUAAAUGCACACAAAAUGAGAAGCGAGUUCAACAUUAAAGUGACGGUCACUGAUGAUUGUGUCAAGGUCACUGGAAUUGGUUCACCUAAUGUAAUAGAUUCAUUUAGUGGCAAUUCAUCAUUUUCAAAGUCAGUUUAUUCUUAUUAUGAUCGUAACUUGGUUGACUUGAAGAUGAGCCUUCUACUUAAGGUACGAUCAAUAAUUUGUACAGUCUAAAGUCUAAACUUUAGACUUUAGAUGACCAUUACUUGGAUGUCUCAUCAUGAUGUUUGUUGAAACAGAUAGCUUGUCAGUUGAUCCAAUGGCUCCAUGAAGAGGCUCUGGUAUUAGGGCUCAUAGCAAGUAGAGACUUUUUAACUUUAAAUUUUGACAUAGCCGAAGGUAGCAAUAUGAAGUUGAUGGCACAUGUGGACGUCAAAGAUGGUCAUUGCAGCAUAUCAUGGUCGAUGGUGGUAAAUGAAAACGAUGGCAAACCUCUCACCGAAUAUUCUACCACCAAGUCUGAGGGGACCAUAACGUUCCUGGGCUAUUUAUCGCUAGAAACAUUGUAUUCUAUUUUAAUGGAUCUGGUUAGCUUUUGCAACAACCCCUUAAACCUUGUAGUCUCAUCUCACCCCAACAUUUUCUCUAGUUAAUAAACUAAUUAUGUUGUAAUUAGUUUGCUUGUACAGGUAGAUUCUUUAAAUAUUUUUUUUGUUUACAUUUAUUGCUUUUUUAUGACUUGUGAGAUCGUGUCUUGAGGCUUUUGUGUUAAAGAAAAUUUGAAAGUGUCAAAUGCUAGACUUCAGCUGGUAUCUGUGUGUGUAUAAUUGUAUCUGUAAGUCUUUGAUUAAGAUUCCUUCCUUUCUAUUUCCAUCUAGGAUGGUCAUGUGGGGAUUUGUUGAUUUAAAUAUGUCACGACUCGCAUAAACCCAUUAUAAACACUAAAAUUGAUAAGGAAAUGAGAAUCAAACAGAAAUUAGGUAGAUGAUCAUUUGCAUUAUUUAAAGAAUUCAUUGUUGUUCCUGAUGCAAGUUUAUGUCAGGUUAAAUCCUGAAUAGACGCUAUUGAUUACUUAAAAUAGAGCCAUGAGCGCUACCCCUCUGAAUGAAAGAAACAAUCAAUUUCACAAGUUGUUUUAACAGGACACGGAUAUUAAUUAUAACACGGACAUUGGUAAUAAUAACCAUCCAUUCAUAAUCCAAGUGCGGUCUAAAUAUUGAAGAAAAUUAACAGUAAAAUUGAUAAGGUAUAUUACAUUAAUUAAAGAUAAUUGAGGUUCAACACACAACAGAAAAAUGAACUAUUUUAAUUAAUCUUGAAAUCCAGGUAUGAAAGAGUCCCAAUUAAUUGUUCAUGGAUCCUGGCAUCCUGCUGUGAAGUUUUUUUUUGAACCUGGAUGUUUUGAAGCCAAGUGCCUUCACACAUUGCUGGAAAAUGACUUCUUUUACUGAUCUCAGAUUUCUCUUGGCAUAUUGCCCAAGAUAGAGCAGUUUAGCAAUGACCAAUGAAGGCCCCAAUUUUUGUGUGGAAUGAGGUAGAUUGUUGACCUUUCUAAAUACUAUUUCAAAAGUGCCCGAUGAGGUUUGAUAUGAUGCUAUUUGCUGCUUUUUAUUACAAUGCAUAGUUAUUACAAUGGAUAUUAGUAUAAACUACAGAGUACAGACUAUGAAAGGAUCUGAAGAAUAAAGUUAACUUAGGUUUGGAAGCUAAUGUGAGAUCUUAAAGAAAGAAAUUAUGAUCCCACUAAGACAAAGUCAAGGAAGACUCAUGAUUUUAAAUAAGAAGAUAAAGUCCUCAGGAAGAUUCUUCAUGAAUCAUGAUCACCUACCUGCCAGGCUGCAAAACAUAUAAGUAAAAAAAUAGCAUAUUUGCUGAAAGUCUGAAACCCACAUGCCUUUGUACAGAAAACACAAACACAAUGUUUACACUUCAUUUACAUGUUUAAUCUCACACUAGAAGUGAUUCCAUGUUUCAAUUAGAUAUUAUUCCAUGAUAUCAUAUUUCUAUUCAUUGAAUUCAAUACAACCAACUACAAAUAUACCCUUGAAAAGUUACGAUCAAUGCAAAAUACAACUGAAUUUCCUGUGCAGCCAAUGUAUGGACUAAUUUACUUGCAUCCUAUAUCUUUGCAAGUAUUGGUUUAUAAGGUAUUCAUCAAUAUCUCAGUUCCUUAAGAAACCUAAAAGAUUGACCUGUAAUAUUAACACGAAGAACACAUAUGACUAGACUAAAGCAUGGAAUUAUAAGUGUAAUAAAUAGAAAAUAGAAGGUUAUUCAUAAUGUAGAUGUGGAAUAGAUCACAAAAUGAUAUCUGCCAGGCAAAAAUAUAAAAAUCAAUUUAGUUGUUGAAAUAAUUAACAAUCACCGUUCACCAUAAAUUGGUCCAUAAUGUGCCAGGCGAAAAAUAAAGAAUACCCAACCAUCAUUUUGGACCUUUGAUGUAAGCUUUAAAGCUUCCAACUCUGUUCCUGGAAAAUCCACAAGUAACAACAGUUAUAUUGUUUGAAUGUAUCCUCAAGAUACUGAAGGCAAUGACCAAUGGUUGAACACGAAGCACUGCGAAGUUUAGCUCUGUACAAAUCAAUAAAUAUGAAGAUGCACAAAAUGAAAAAAAGCAUAUUAAAAAUAAGUUGGUAAUUUGAAUCCCAUACAGAUUUAUAUGCAUAAAUUUAUAGAAGAUUAUAUUAACAAUUUUUUCUCAACCAUCUUGGAGAGUAGGAAACACCUUGAAACAUAAGUAUGUGAUUAAUAAUAAUUAACAAAUAGAAAUCUGUCAAUUAGCGGUUGUUUACAGACCACAUGUCCUAACUAAAACACAGAAUAAUUGUAUUAUAUGCAUGUGUUAAUUCUCUAAGAAAUUUAUAAACUAACAUUUUUCCAUUCCUUUCUAUGGCCAAAUACAAAUAUGAGAAAUCUUGUAAUGUAUACAAAAAGCUCUUUUCUUUCUACAAUGCUUUGAUGCUAGUACUACAGACCAAUAAGACUGUUUCUAAGUAAUGAGAAUUGAUAACAAACUGUCAACUAUGAAAGCUUUUUUGACUCACCGGAUACUAAAUGCUUUAGUUCCGAUAGAUGUUCAUCAGUUGAAAUAUGAAGAAAAAGACGGAGGUUUGUCAUUAAUGCUUGUUGUUCCCAACUUAUGGGUCCAGAUGCAAAUAAUAAGUUCAUAGUUAAACGAUAGGCAUUCAGCUCCAAUUUGUGAACUUCUGCAUGUACAUCCAUUUCUUGUUUAGUGGUAUGUUUCCAGGAAGAUUUCAAGGCAUCAAAAGAAUGAGCAUCAUCAGUAUAAUCAUUUAAAUCAAGAUGACAUCCAGUCAAUACAUCUAGAUUAUUACUACCAAUGGAGCUGCAUAUAGAGAGAAUUUUAUUUUCCAAUCCAUUAGGUUCUGAGCUUCUUCCCUGGGAAAAUGCAACUUCAGUCUUGCAUUUGCUCCAUCUCUGUUUCAUUUCAGAUUUUUCAGCUCUAUUCUCAGAACAAUUAUCAACGAGCAGUGUAGAAGAAUUUCCAGCAUCCAACUGUUGCUGAUUGAGAAGUUUCUGAACAGCUCUCUGAUUCUUAGAUUUUUUAAUAUUUUGAAAGAGUGGAAACUCUGAUUUUCGUUUUGUGCCACACUUUAAAUACUUACUCGAAAAGCCUAUAUUCUUUUUUACUGGAGUGAUUCCAAGUGUAUCAUUUUGAACCGUUUUGCAUUGUUCAGAAUGGAUCAACUCUAACUCAUCAGCACUGCGAUAUCUCCCACAGGUAUAACUACUGAAAUUCUGCGUGUAAAUAAAAAAAAGAUUAGAUAAUAUUUGACCUUGAUGAAAAAUCAACACAACAAUAUAUAACAAUACCAAAAGUACAUGCAAUAUCAUUGUAAAAAACAAUUGUGAACAAACAAUUUACCUUUCUAAUCACCACCCAUUUACCAUCUUCCCAUGUCUGCCGUAUUCUCACAUUCAAAUAAUGUAUUUUUAUUGACCAAAAAGAUCCAAGAAGCCUCACAGUGUAAUGGUUUUCAUCCAGCACCAUAAGUAAUUCAGAAAUCUUCCAAGACCCAUUGUCGAAAGCUUCAAUCAUAUCACCAGUUUCCCAGUCAGCAGGUAGUUUAUUUGAAGGAGGGCAAGGCCGGAUAGAUUUUCUAGAAACUCUUUCCACAUCUGACAUAUCAGGUGAGGGACACUGAUACCUUACGUUGUAAUAUCGACCAUUACCAGAUAUUAUCUCUGCACGCCACCAAGAACCCGUAGGCGUCUCUCUCAUGUUCCGCACCUCUACUUUAAAUCCUUUUUCGAAGAUCAUGUUUAUUUUGAGUUAGCAAUGGAAUCUCUUGAUCCUGUUCACAACAUGACAUAGAUUAGGAUAUCAACUCAGCACUUUAUUAGGGAAGAUUGAUAAUCUAUUCUAACAACCCAAUAAAAAAAAUCCAGUAGAAUAAUAGAAUAGAAUCAACAUAAUCGCAUAAAUCAUUUCAAAUAAAUUUGAACGUUGUAUGUUAACAGAGGAAUAAUAACACAAGUUAGCAGCAUAUAAUUAUUUAUUAAAGGGGAAAUAUCCAGGUUCCCACUUUUUCUCGUCAAAUAUAAAGUAAAUAAAUACAAAACUCACAACAUCAAGUUGGAAGAAAAGAAAGAAGAAGAAAACAUUUACAGAAAGAGAGAUCUGAAAAUGCACUAUCUAAAAGUCUGAAACAUCUACAAAUCUCGAACAAAAACGUCUUAAAUAAAAGUCUAAAUUCACUGCGACAUUGAUGAAAAGCCGGAAAGUAAAGAAAACCACAAAAUCUACAAUCUGAUGAUCGCAGCAAUAUGUUAAGAAUAAACUGAGAAAUUCUGGAAAAAAUAAACUAAAUAUAAAAGCAUCAAUCAACAUAUUAAAAAAAAAACAAAACAUUUCUAAACCACAAAUCACCAGAUUCUCAACAACAGUCUACAUCCACUACCAACAACAAUCGAAAACAAGAACAGAAACCCCAGAAUAAAGAGCGAAAACCAAACAUUCGCACAAAUUCAUCUUUCUUUCCACAACCACAAUCAAAUAAAAACACAGAACCGCACGAGCGAGGGGGAAAAAAGAUGAACAAUCUCAAAAAAAAAAAAAAAAAAUCACUGACCUGGAAAAGACGAUCACACACAGAUUACAGCAGAUUACAGCAGAUUAACGAUUUCUUUCCUCCCAAGGAUUAUCGAUCAACACAAAGAUUCAGAAAUAUUGGAAUCAGUUAUCUCUUUACCGCGUCCUUCUCUCCGAACUUUAUAUCUCUCGUUCUUCCUCUUCUUCCACUGCACACCGGAAAUUUGCAGAAGGGUGGAGAAUUCAGAAAAAAUUUAGAAUGGUGGGCCGUGAUAAAAUAAGCCAAGUUUUUUUUUUUUGUUGUUGUUGCGUAAAAUAACCCUGGAAUUUUUCGAAAUUACUUGACGUCGUGCGUGCCCGGUUUCAGCAACCGAGUCUCACCAUUUGCUGCGAUUGCCACGUCAGAUGCCUUUUUAUUGUUGGAAUGGGUUUUGCAAAUGGUGCAAUUCUGUCCAUUCGAUCUCAGAUAUCUAUAGUAAAUUAAAUCUGUUUUAAACUUAUAAUUAGAAAUGAAGGUUUAGUGUUAAUCUCCUUCCUCUGUUUACCUAAUUUAGCAGUGGGUAAUUAGCAUCAUUAUUCAUAAGUACAGACCAUAAUAACAUUAUCUGUUGUAGUAGCUUUAAAAGAAAGUUAAGUAGUAGUAGUUAACUUAACUUCCAAACAAUCAAUUGAGUGGUGGUGAACAAAAUGAAACAAGAUAAAAAAAAAAAAGACAGACAAUACGCAAACGACAUACCUUGUCCACAAGUAAGGAUUUCGGAUCAUCAACCCUAUCUAUCCUUCAAAACAUGUCCAGGACAAAUGGCUUUCAGAUGAAAUUACAAAUUGCAAAACAACAAGCAUGUUCCUUGUGUCUAUCUUUUUUUUUGCUUCAUUUUCUACUAGACUGACUAUUUAUUAAAUGGGUAGCAAAGAAUUAGGCAUUCAUGGUUCUGGUUCAGGAGCAAAAGGAAUUGGCUUAGUUGGAGCAGGUAGACGGCCGAUACUGUCGACCUUAUCACGUAUCUUCGGUGGAGGUCGAGCAGGGCGUGGUAACAAUCGUCUCUUCUUUUCAAACCAUUCUGGUUUUAGUAGAGCUCGUAAUCCAAGUUUGUUGUAAUGAACUUUCCUCACCGAUCCACCUGCUGCUUCAACAGCUUCCUUAGCUCUAACGGUCACUCUUGACACCUGGAGAGAAUUUAAAUAUCAAUCAGAAUAUAAAACACCUAAAGCUAUCCAAGUAAUCAAUCACAAGUCGAUAUUUAAGUAAAAGAAAACAAUCAGUUGAUGAAAUAACAAUAAAAAUUGAUAAGAAAACAGCAUACCUCGAGGUGGAUCGGCCACUGGAUUUCUUCAGCACCACGACCCAUCAACCUAACACCAUCCUCAAUUUGCUUACCAACAGCACCGGUGUCCUGAGUGUAACAUAAAAAACAGUUAACAGCGCCAUUCAAAAUCCAUAUAAUCUAGUCAAAGCAUAAUAAGAAAAGAGCAAUACUACCUUGAGAGUUUUCAUAGUAAUAAGUUCCGACGAGUCAAUUUUUCCAGCAUUUAUGAGCUUUGCUAUCUUUCCCAAACCAAUUGGCUGAAAUAAAAUAAAAAUACCAUCACAAUAAAUAAAUCACUCAAUUCCAAUUAAAAUCAGUUGUCCACUUAUGCAAUGCUAACUAAGCAGUUGGAAUUUUUAAGAUAAUCCAAAAGAAAUUGAAAGAACUAAGCAAUACAGGACAGUAAGUCCAUAAGAAAUAUGCACUUUACUCACUCGCUUAAAUCCAGACAACAACGGUGUUUUUAGUACAAAAUGCAGUAGGAUAAAAUCACCUAAAAUCAGAGAUUGGGGGAUUCAAGCAUUUCUGAAGCUGGUCUUUUUAUUUUUUGAGUCGCUCUAAAAAAACCGAAGCAAUGAUACUGGCUCUAGUUUUAUGGUGAUUCACAUCAGAAUAUCAGAUAUCUAAUCUGUUACAAUGUGCGAUGCAACUCAUCCAAGUCGAUUAAAAUCUGUCAAUUUAAGAUUUAAUUAUCAACCAACAAACCUCUUUAAAAAUAGAGUUUUUUUCCUUUCAAUUUUCACUCUUCAAAAUCAUACUACACAAUCCGUCUCAUAUCUAAUAUUUACAUGACUAUGUAAUUUAGGAAAAUCAUAAGUAAAACGGAUGAUGAACAACGACAACAAGAAAAUCUCACCUGAAAAGGUGAUAUUUUUCACCUAUUUGCAAAAAAAAAAAAAAAAAAUCUCAC